UCGAGGAUGGUCAACAAGAAGGCAUUUAU
rnacentral:sRNA from 1 species